rnacentral:rRNA from 1 species
AGUGAACGCUGGCGGUAGGCCUAACACAUGCAAGUCGAACGGCAGCACAGUAAGAGCUUGCUCUUACGGGUGGCGAGUGGCGGACGGGUGAGGAAUACAUCGGAAUCUACUUUUUCGUGGGGGAUAACGUAGGGAAACUUACUCUAAUACCGCAUACGACCUACGGGUGAAAGCAGUGGAUCUUCGGACCUUGCGCGAUUGAAUGAGCCGAUGUCGGAUUAGCUAGUUGGCGGGGUAAAGGCCCACCAAGGCGACGAUCCGUAGCUGGUCUGAGAGGAUGGUCAGCCACACUGGAACUGAGACACGGUCCAGACUCCUACGGGAGGCAGCAGUGGGGAAUAUUGGACAAUGGGCGCAAGCCUGAUCCAGCCAUACCGCGUGGGUGGAGAAGGCCUUCGGGUUGUAAAGCCCUUUUGUUGGGAAAGAAAAGCAGCAGGUUAAUACCCAGCUGUUCUGACGGUACCCAAAGAAUAAGCACCGGCUAACUUCGUG